CUCCCAAACGUAGAGGGGGAGAGGAGGAAAGUGGGGGGCAGUGAGGGAGUAAGAGGGAGCUGCUGCUGGGAGGCAGCCAGGGGAGGAAGGUCCAAAGAGACAGCGGGGUGGGCUGACUGGGGGUCGCUGGGCCGCGGAUUCCCCAGGCCUGGUGGGGGAGCGGCGGCGGGUCCGGCCCGUUCACUCUCCAGUGGCCCUGGCCGGCGGCUCCGCGACUUCCGGACCGGCUCCAAGCCGGACGCAGGCCCCGCGGGACCUUUGGCCGGACGGGACAGUGCGGAGCGGCCCCUUCGGCCGGGCCUCCUGGUAGUCAGCAGCAGUUGACAAAUGACCUGAUUCCACAGGUAAACUUGAGAAACAAAGAAAGGAACGUUGGCCUUGAAGUUCGUCAAAACUAAAAAAGCAUGAGUGAUGGUACAGAGCAAUCACUGAACGAAUUUUUCUGGUGUGAUUCAAAACAAUGAAACUUGCACAGAGAUUUCUGGUGCAUGGUAAUAUCUGUUACAUGGCUACCUCUUCAGCAAAAUCAAGCACUGAGGACCAUUACAGACAACGUGCUACAUAUGCUUACUUUUUACCAAUACAGACAAGAUGGCAGGACAACAAUCAGUAUGGACAUGUGAACAAUGCUGUCUACUACAGCUAUUUCGACACUAUAAUCAACCAUUUUUUGAUCAGGUAUGUAUAUUGCUCCUCAGGGACUGCCCCCAGACUUCCUUUGUAUAUUUACUCAUCUGGGUGAUUUUGAAGUAGUUUUGGGGUUAAGUAGGUAAAUGUAUUUAUGCACUUCCAUUCUAUUCUUAUAUGCCCCAGUGAUCCAGAAUGAAGCAAACAUUCAAACUGAAAUACCGCUGCAGCAAAGACACAAGUAUUUAAACGCUUGGGCAGUAUUUAAAGUAAAUUUAGUUUCACACAUAAUCCACUUAACUGGAAUUGGUAUUUGAAAAUAAACUUUAAAAAUUAUAUGUAAGCUGAAUGAUAUAGUUCUCUGUAAUCCACAGUAGUUUGUAUAUGCUAGUAGCAACAUCUCUUAGAUGAUGGACAGGCACUGGCACAUGUCCUUUCUUGUGGAUGUUGGCAAGCACUAGCAUUUGUCUUCUCAUGAAGCACUGUCAAACCCUUUUAUGAUAUAGGUAUUACAUGUCCUUUCUCAAGGUGUUGAUGAGGAGCUGUUAUUAUAACCCUUUCUUUGAUUUUUGUUAAAAGCCAAAAGGCGUUGUCAUAACCCUUAUUUCGGUAACAAUCCUGCAGACAUUUAUGCAUGUGCCUAAUUUUAAGCACACAAGUAAUCCAUCUGAAGUCAGUUAGUUCUUUGUUUAAGAUUUUUCAGGUUUGGGAUCUGACUGUAUGUAGCUCAUUUUGUUCUAUGUAACUGCCAUAUCUAGGGUGAACUGCAUGCCGCUCUCAUGGAAAUUAGGCAAAUGCUAAUCUUGUUUUCUGUGCAUGGUUUAUAUGUCUGAAACUUCAUAGUAUUGCCACUGAGGAUGCACACCUUAGGAAAGGGACAUAAUUGACCAAAAGGGAUACUUUAGAUGUUAGUUCCUGCUUUCAAAAAAUGAAACUGCCAACAAAAAUUCAGAUGGGUAAGUUAAGCAAUUCUGAUUUUCAUACAUUAAAUCGACUGUUCUGGCUACUAUAUAACAAGAAAUCACUAAACAUAUAUGUGGUAAUACAAUUACAUAUUCUGUACAAAGGACUGGAUGGCAAUUACUGUGGGCUUCAUGCAGGGCCGGCUCCAGGGUUUUGGCUGCCCCAAGCAGCCAAACAUUAAAAAAAAAAA